GUGCUCAUUUGUCUCCCUGAUAUUUAUCGAGCACCUAUUUUGUUCCAAGCACCGUGCCAGGAGCUGAGUAGGCACUGGUGUACAAAAGACAGGCCCCGGCACUUUUGGAGCUUAUCAUCUAUUAGGAGAGACGGGGAAUAAAUGUACGUAGCAAAUGUCCAGUUCCAACUGAGAGACGUUCUGUGAAGAAGAAGAACAGGGUGAAGUGAUAGAAAAUAAACCUGAGGGUUGGGGAGAGGGGGCUUCCACCAAUGGAGUCUGAUCCCAAAUGCUGUUCCUCUGUUCAAAAUUACCUUCUCACCCUCCCUUUCACUUCCCUGGGGGCAAAUCUCUGAAGCUGCCCUCUUUGAAGCAGGGAUCUCCCUCAGCUUCCUUCAGGAAGAAUUAAUUGCCUCAUGGACAAAAAGGCAAAUACAUGGUGACGGGAAGUAUUUACUGGCAAAGCCCGGGAAAAAACUGAGAGGACAGGCACCUUUCUCUUCAAGACUUAUCUGCUCUAAGUCUCCAAAGAAACGGUUCUCAUGGAGAUGCAGCCUGGUGAGCCCUCAAACCAGGUGAAAGUCAGGCAGCACCGAAUUCCAACCUUGGGACCCCUGAGCAAGUCACUUCACCACUCUGUUCCUGAGGUGCCACCUUAUCUACAAUGUGGGGAAUAAGAGUUGCCUUUCCUACUUCACAAGGCAAGGAAGCAGUGUGGGAUCAAACUACAAGGAAUCCCUAAUCCUAAGCCUGGGGAGACCGAGGUCAUAGAAUUGGAAGCACCUUGGUGAUUAUUGCAGG